rnacentral:rRNA from 1 species
GACAGAGGGUGCAAACGUUGUUCGGAAUUACUGGGCGUAAAGCGCGUGUAGGCGGCUGCGCAAGUCGGAUGUGAAAUCCCGUGGCUCAACCACGGAAGUGCACCCGAAACUGCGUAGCUUGAGUCUCGGAGAGGAAGGUGGAAUGCUUGGUGUAGAGGUGAAAUUCGUAGAUAUCAAAGCGGGAACACCGGUGGCGGAAGGCGGCCUUCUGGACGAUGACUGAC